UACGUAGGGACCGAGCGUUGUCCGGAAUCAUUGGGCGUAAAGAGCGUGUAGGCGGCCAGGUAGGUCCGUUGUGAAAACUCGAGGCUCAACCUCGAGACGUCGGCGGAAACCCUCUGGCUAGAGUCCGGAAGAGGAGAGUGGAAUUCCUGGUGUAGCGGUGAAAUGCGCAGAUAUCAGGAAGAACACCCGUGGCGAAGGCGGCUCUCUGGGACGGUACUGACGCUGAGACGCGAAAGCGUGGGGAGCAAACAGG
rnacentral:rRNA from 1 species